rnacentral:rRNA from 1 species
GACGAACGCUGGCGGCGUGCUUAACACAUGCAAGUCGAACGAUGAAGCCCAGCUUGCUGGGUGGAUUAGUGGCGAACGGGUGAGUAACACGUGAGUAACCUGCCCUUGACUCUGGGAUAAGCGCUGGAAACGGCGUCUAAUACCGGAUACGACCUGCCCCGGCAUCGGGUGCGGGUGGAAAGUUUUUCGGUCAAGGAUGGACUCGCGGCCUAUCAGCUAGUUGGUGAGGUAAUGGCUCACCAAGGCGACGACGGGUAGCCGGCCUGAGAGGGUGACCGGCCACACUGGGACUGAGACACGGCCCAGACUCCUACGGGAGGCAGCAGUGGGGAAUAUUGCACAAUGGGCGAAAGCCUGAUGCAGCAACGCCGCGUGGGGGAUGACGGCCUUCGGGUUGUAAACCUCUUUUAGUAGGGAAGAAGGGCUUCGGCUUGACGGUACCUGCAGAAAAAGCACCGGCUAACUACGUGCCAGCAGCCGCGGUAAUACGUAGGGUGCAAGCGUUGUCCGGAAUUAUUGGGCGUAAAGAGCUCGUAGGCGGUUUGUCGCGUCUGCUGUGAAAACCCGAGGCUCAACCUCGGGCCUGCAGUGGGUACGGGCAGACUAGAGUGCGGUAGGGGAGAAUGGAAUUCCUGGUGUAGCGGUGGAAUGCGCAGAUAUCAGGAGGAACACCGAUGGCGAAAGCAGUUCUCUGGGCCCGUACUGACGCUGAGGAGCGAAAGCGUGGGGAGCGAA